CCCUUAGAUGUUCUGGGCCGCACGCGUGCUACACUGAGUGGAUCAGCGGGUCAGGUUGCGCGAAAGCGUUUCCUAAUCUUUAAAUCCGCUCGUGAUGGGGAUUGACGGUUGCAAUUUUCUGUCAUGAACGAGGAAUACCUUGUAAGCGCGGGUCAUCAUCCCGCGCUGAAUACGUCCCUGCCCUUUGUACACACCGCCCGUCGCUCCUACCGAUUGAGUGGUCCGGUGAGGCUUUGGGAUCUGAGCGGAAAGAGCGUUUCGCUGUUUCUGCUCGGAAAACUCAGCCGAACCUUAUCAUUUAGAGGAAGGAGAAGUCGUAACA
rnacentral:rRNA from 1 species